rnacentral:rRNA from 1 species
UACAUGGGGUGCAAGCGUUGUUCGGAAUUACUGGGCGUAAAGGGCUCGUAGGCGGCCGGCUAAGUCCGACGUGAAAUCCCCAGGCUUAACCUGGGAACUGCGUCGGAUACUGGCGGGCUUGAAUCCGGGAGAGGGAUGCGGAAUUCCAGGUGUAGCGGUGAAAUGCGUAGAUAUCUGGAGGAACACCGGUGGCGAAGGCGGCAUCCUGGACCGGCAUUGACGCUGAAUAGCGAAAGCCAGGGGAGCAAACGGG